GUGGGGAAUAUUGGACAAUGGGCGCAAGCCUGAUCCAGCCAUGCCGCGUGAGUGAUGAAGGCCCUAGGGUUGUAAAGCUCUUUCACCGGAGAAGAUAAUGACGGUAUCCGGAGAAGAAGCCCCGGCUAACUUCGUGCCAGCAGCCGCGGUAAUACGAAGGGGGCUAGCGUUGUUCGGAAUUACUGGGCGUAAAGCGCACGUAGGCGGAUAUUUAAGUCAGGGGUGAAAUCCCGGAGCUCAACUCCGGAACUGCCUUUGAUACUGGGUAUCUCGAGUAUGGAAGAGGUGAGUGGAAUUCCGAGUGUAGAGGUGAAAUUCGUAGAUAUUCGGAGGAACACCAGUGGCGAAGGCGGCUCACUGGUCCAUUACUGACGCUGAGGUGCGAAAGCGUGGGGAGCAAACAGGAUUAGAUACCCCGGUAGUCC
rnacentral:rRNA from 1 species